AUUGAACGCUGGCGGCAGGCCUAACACAUGCAAGUCGAGCGGAUGAAGGGAGCUUUCUCCUGGAUUCAGCGGCGGACGGGUGAGUAAUGCCUAGGAAUCUGCCUUGUAGUUGGGGAUAACGUCCGGAAACGGGCGCUAAUAUCGCAUACGUCCUGAGGGAGAAAGUGGGGGAUCUUCGGACCUCACGCUAUCAGAUGAGCCUAGGUCGGAUUAGCUAGUUGGUGGGGUAAAGGCCUACCAAGGCGACGAUCCGUAACUGGUCUGAGAGGAUGAUCAGUCACACUGGAACUGAGACACGGUCCAGACUCCUACGGGAGGCAGCAGUGGGGAAUAUUGGACAAUGGGCGAAAGCCUGAUCCAGCCAUGCCGCGUGUGUGAAGAAGGUCUUCGGAUUGUAAAGCACUUUAAGUUGGGAGGAAGAGCAGUAAGUUAAUACCUUGCUGUUUUGACGUUACCAACAGAAUAAGCACCGGCUAACUUCGUG
rnacentral:rRNA from 1 species